ACACUCCUGCGGGAGGCAGCAGUGGGGAAUAUUGCACAAUGGGCGCAAGCCUGAUGCAGCCAUGCCGCGUGUGUGAAGAAGGCCUUCGGGUUGUAAAGCACUUUCAGCGGGGAGGAAGGCGAUACGGUUAAUAACCGUGUUGAUUGACGUUACCCGCAGAAGAAGCACCGGCUAACUCCGUGCCAGCAGCCGCGGUAAUACGGAGGGUGCAAGCGUUAAUCGGAAUUACUGGGCGUAAAGCGCACGCAGGCGGUCUGUCAAGUCGGAUGUGAAAUCCCCGGGCUCAACCUGGGAACUGCAUUCGAAACUGGCAGGCUUGAGUCUUGUAGAGGGGGGUAGAAUUCCAGGUGUAGCGGUGAAAGGCGUAGAGAUCUGGAGGAAUACCGGUGGCGAAGGCGGCCCCCUGGACAAAGACUGACGCUCGGGUGCGAAAGCGUGGGGAGCAAACAGGAUUAGAAACCCGAGUAGUCCCAUG
rnacentral:rRNA from 1 species